UGUGUCCCAGUCUUCACACUCCUUGGACGUGGUGGCAGUUACCUGCCAUGUGCAGAGAUUCUAUCCACAGACUGUGCAUCUCAGCUGGUUGGAGAACUGCCAUACAUUCAAGAGAGCUGUGCAACCCUCGUCCAAGCAGAAUAGUGAUGGUACCUACACCUUGGAAAGCUUGCAUUUGGUGAAUGCCUCAGUGUGGGAGUCUGAAUGUGUACUUACCUGUAAAGUGCAGCAUGAGACCCAGCCUCCCAUCCAGGCCAGCCUCAUACUGUCCACAGCAGUGCAGGACACAUACAAACUCCUUGGGAGCACAGGUCCAGAGAUGCCUGCCUUUUUGAUGGCUUUCCUCCUGGGCUUCAAAGUGGUGCUGGUGAUCAGUUUCAUAGCUACCUAUUUCCACAGGUGGUGGAACCUGUAACAGGUCCUGCAUACUCUGUGAUACACAGCCUCCCUCCCUGUGCAAGGGGCUCAAGUGGAAAGAAGCUAUAAGGACUGGAAAUGACUCAAGAUUUCCCACCCUUCACUCUGCUUUCCCCACCUCCAACAUGAACACACUCCCUUCCACACAUUCUCCUAUAUGCCUUCUCUCUGACCUUUGGAAUUGAGUCAAGAAUGGACAUUGGUCAUGUUGAUCCAGAAUGUCUGGACCCUGAUGCACUGAGCUUCAAACUGGCCCUGCCUCCACCCCAAAGAGAAUCAAGUAGAUCAAGAAAGUAGGUUUCCAUUGUGCCCCUGCUCAUGAACCCUUAAUUUUCAGAGCACUUUUUACUUUUAUCCAGAGCUUUUGCAAUUGUGAUUUCAUUUUAACACACAUGUAUUUUAAAUCACUAAGUUGAAUAAGAUUUUUCUAUUCUGAAAUUUAUGAUAUAAAAAUAUCCACAUAACUACCUACCAUGCUAUGUUUGCAGACUGUUAACAUUUUGCCAUUGUGAUCUGUUGUUCCUUUGAAAAUUACUGUACUAGAUUUGGUAUUCAUAAUCUCAAUCAUGAUUUUAUACUUCUACAACAUAUAUAUAAAUCCUUAAGCAAUAUAUAACAUUACUUGCAUGUUUUAACUUUUGUAUAAAUGUUAUUAUACUGUAUACAGUCUGCUGGAACUUUUAUUUUUUUAUACUCAACACAGCUUUUUUUAUUCAUAAAUUCAUAAAUGAAUUUAUACAUUCAUUUAUGUAGCUCAAUUUUAUUAAUUUCCACUGCUGUAUAAGUUCUACUGUGACAGUAUGCCACAAUGUAUUGAUUUUUCUUGUGAUGGAUAUCAAAUAUUUAUGUAAUGUCUUGCUAGUAGAAUUUUGCACACAUAUUUUUGUCUUUGUUUCUUGGGCAUGUAUGGGACAGUUCCUCUUCGACUGGUGUGUCCAUAAAGUGGACUCUUGGUAUCGCUUGGAGCC